GAGAUAGUUCGCUUCUCCAAACUAUUUGAGGACCAGCUGGCCCUGGAACACUUAGAUCGCCCUCAGCUGGUUGCCCUUUGCAAACUGCUGGAAUUGCAGACGUUUGGAACCAACAACCUGCUCCGCUUUCAGCUCCUGAUGAAACUGAAGUCUAUAAAAGCAGAUGAUGAAAUAAUUGCCAAGGAAGGGGUGAGAGCAUUGAGUGUAUCAGAACUGCAGGCUGCCUGUAGGGCCCGAGGGAUGAGGUCACUGGGUCUCACGGAGGAACAACUGCAACAACAGCUCACCGAGUGGCAGGACCUCCACCUGAAGGAGAACGUCCCUCCUUCCCUUUUGCUCCUGUCCCGCACCUUCUACCUGAUAGAUGUGAAGCCCAAGCCGAUUGAGAUACCACUCAGUGGGGAGUAACCCAACUCUCAGUUCUGAUGUUUAAGGAUGAAGACUUUAUACAGCCGCCACCAGUUACAUCAUCACCCAUAACACCAUC
rnacentral:sRNA from 1 species